rnacentral:rRNA from 1 species
AUUGAACGCUGGCGGCAGGCCUAACACAUGCAAGUCGAACGAGUGGCGGACGGGUGAGGAAUGUCUGGGAAACUGCCCGAUGGAGGGGGAUAACUACUGGAAACGGUAGCUAAUACCGCAUACCAUCGGAUGUGCCCAGAUGGGAUUAGCUAGUAGGUGGGGUAAAGGCUCACCUAGGCGACGAUCACUAGCUGGUCUGAGAGGAUGACCAGCCACACUGGAACUGAGACACGGUCCAGACUCCUACGGGAGGCAGCAGUCGGGAAUCUUGCACAAUUAGCGCAAGCCUGAUGCAGCCAUGCCGCGUGUAUGAAGAAGGCCUUCGGGUUGUAAAGUACUUUCCGCUGGGAGGCGUUACCCGCCGAAGAAGCACCGGCUAACUCCGUGCCAGCAGCCGCGGUAAUAC